rnacentral:tRNA from 1 species
ACUUCCGUAGCUCAGUUGGUAGAGCACGGCACUUUUAAUGCUGGGGUCACGAGUUCGAACCUCGUCGGGAGUACCA